rnacentral:lncRNA from 1 species
AAGUAAAUUCUUGCUCUGACUCCAGAUGAAGAUGAUGAGAUCCUCUUGCUGAACUUUCUAAGUAGCAUCUAUCAAUGAAAAAUAGCAACUUAGGAUAAUCGAUGGAGGGGCUGGUAUUAGAUUCUCAAAGCUAUGUCAUAAUCUUGAAUAGAUUCAAACAAAUUCAAAGGUGUAAUGCUAUCAUAUAAAUAUAUUGCCAAGAGAUAGCAACUUAAGAGAGGAGAUGGUUGAAUUGGAUUCUUUAAAAUUAAAAAUAAAUAUGUCCUUAAUUAAACUAUAAUGUCGGAAAGUAAAGUGAAUGGAGAAACAUAAUCACAAAUACAAAGAAUUUAUAAUGGUUCAAUGUAAAAUUUGAUAUCUAUGCUAUUGCCCAAGACCCUUAUUUGAAAAUUUCAACUGUAAUCUUUCUCAAAUAUAGUUUGAUUGUUUUGAAUUUGGCUCACAAUCAACCCAGUUAAUUUACCAAGAGCAAUCAAUCGUAAUCUUUCUCCAUCUAAGUUCUCCUAAACUUAGUCCAAUAUACUUAUCCAGUUCUAAGCUUGGACUAGUCUUAUCCCCCAAGUUUUAAUUUAAGCAGAG